GGUGCACCCAGAAACCCUUUGUGAACUUAUACCUAAAUCGUUGCCUCGGCGCUGAGCUGCCCUCCCCCCGGGGAGGGGCCCCUCCACUGGACUCGUGCCUGUGGCGGACAGCAGGCCCGCCGGUGGCCCAACAAACUCUUGUAUUUACCGAGUAAAUCUGAGAAAAAGCUUCUAAAUGAAUCAAAACUUUCAACAACGGAUCUCUUGGUUCUGGCAUCGAUGAAGAACGCAGCGAAAUGCGAUAAGUAAUGUGAAUUGCAGAAUUCAGUGAAUCAUCGAAUCUUUGAACGCACAUUGCGCCCUCUGGCAUUCCAGAGGGCAUGCCUGUUCGAGCGUCAUUUCAACCCUCAAGCCUAGCUUGGUGUUGGGGCAUUACCUUUUCCCUCCGGGGAGGGAAGCCCUGAAAUUCAGUGGCGAGCUCGCCAGGACUCCGAGCGCAGUAGUGUAAACCUCGCUUUGGAUAGUACUGGCGCGGCCCUGCCGUAAAACCCCCAACUUCUGAAAAUUUGACCUCGGAUCAGGUAGGAAUACCCGCUGAACUUAAGCAUAUCA
rnacentral:rRNA from 1 species